GGAAACUUGGAAGCUGCAGCUCUGAGGAGGAGCUACGUCCCUGAAGGCAGGGCUAGGUCCAUCCAGGCGUUUUACACAGCUGAAUGGUUACCAUGGAGAUUAAAGGAUUUCUCAAACAUGCAUGAA